CAAUAAAAUCUAAAUUUGCUAACCCUCGUUUCAGCUCCUGAAAGAACUUCCCAAAAAAUCUAUCAUCACGGUCAUGGAAGACCACCGUCAUAGAAGACAGCCGCUUCUUCCUCUUCCCUCUUCCGCACCAGGUGCCUCCAUGAAGCUACUCGAUUUCUCAAUUUCAUCCAAAUUCUUGCGAUUAUGUUUUGCCAGAAAUUUUGUCGUUGAAGGCCACGCCUCCUUUUGUGCCGGCAACAGAACGGGAUGAUUUGGUGACCCCUCAGUCCAUAGGUGAGGAUGCAGUGGAUGGAGAAAAAUCAAGUGUUGCGGCGGCUUUGGCGGCAGCUGCUGCUGCGGGCCGAAUGAAGAAGCCGUCAGUGAAAUCGAAAUCAGGACCUAAGACAGCAUGGCGGAAGCUCCUUUCUCAGUGUUCUCAGGUUUGAUUCUUCGCUGUGAAUUGGAUGAUCAACCUGUUACAAGCAAUUAUGAAAACUCCUCAUUGUAUGUGUUGGAAUGGUUAUUAUCAAGAAUUGGACUUCCAGACAAGAUUAUAGUGAAGGAUGAUGGUGCUUUCGUUGAUUCAUGAACUAUGGUUGUGGACGGUGCCAAUUAUGGUUAGCAUGUGUGGCUUGCAAAAUAUUCUCCAAGACUAUUCUCAAAAUUGGCUCCCUUCAAAUUCUAUCAUUGAGAAAAACCCGGCUUUCUUCAACACUAGAGACAUUGUCAUCUUGAAGAUUAUUCCCGGCUUCCCUAUUCUUACCAAGGUGAAUUACAUGCGUUCUUUUACUUCCAUUGAAGCUGAGCAAUCCAUUCGGUCACAACAUAAGUAAAGUUCACGUUUGGUAACUGUUUCUGUCCCACACAACAUUACUCUAUUUUGCUGAGUCUCUAGUUUUUCUUUCUUCAUUCUGUUUUACAUUUUGUUAUUCUUCAUUGUUAUUAAUGUCUUGCAUCAUUCAUACAUCUUUUCCAACAAGAGAUAACUUCUGCAGUUACGAUUUUGCUUAUGGUGCAUCAAUAAUAUUCAAUCAUUGUAAUACUCAGAGGAAUUCUGAGAAACAUGACAAUGAUAAUAACUGCAACAGAGGAAGGUUCUUGAGGACAUAAGUGGUUAGGAAACCUCAUGACUAAAGUGAAAGAAACUAAGCAACCAGGGACAAUAAUGGACACAAUCCAAGAGUGCCAUGACACACUGAUUGAUAUAGAGAGCAGCCUCAAUGAGCUUCAUCAAGUGUUCUUGGACAUGACUAUUUUAGUCCAAUCACAAGGUAAGCAACUCAAUGACAUACAGAGCCACGAGUCAAGAGCCAAUUCGUACGUCUGCCGUGGGUCCGGCAGUUUCAGUUUGCAAGGAAGCACCAGAAGAAUACCAGAAGUCCAUCUUCAUUGCCAUCAUAAUAUUGAUUUAUUAUAUUGAUUAUAGUCCUUCUUAUUGAUCAUUAUCAUAUUUACCUUUUGAAUUUCGGUUCAUGUAUAUGUUACACUCUAAAAUUCUUCCAAACCAUCUGAUAAUAAAUUUCAGGCGCAUGAAUUAAAGUUUAGCAGAUAAAUAUAGUUUUGCUUUAAUUAAUGGGAUAUUGAUUGGUGGCUAUGAACAAAUUGGACUAAUUCAAAACCUUUCCCUUUUCAA